rnacentral:rRNA from 1 species
GUGGGGAAUAUUGGACAAUGGGCGAAAGCCUGAUCCAGCCAUGCCGCGUGUGUGAAGAAGGUCUUCGGAUUGUAAAGCACUUUAAGUUGGGAGGAAGGGCAGUAAGUUAAUACCUUGCUGUUUUGACGUUACCGACAGAAUAAGCACCGGCUAACUUCGUGCCAGCAGCCGCGGUAAUACGAAGGGUGCAAGCGUUAAUCGGAAUUACUGGGCGUAAAGCGCGCGUAGGUGGUUCAGCAAGUUGGAGGUGAAAUCCCCGGGCUCAACCUGGGAACUGCCACCAAAACUACUGGGCUAGAGUACGGUAGAGGGUAGUGGAAUUCCUGUGUAGCGGUGAAAUGCGUAGAUAUAGGAAGGAACACCAGUGGCGAAGGCGACUACCUGGACUGAUACUGACACUGAGGUGCGAAAGCGUGGGGAGCAAACAGGAUUAGAAACCCCGGUAGUCC